rnacentral:rRNA from 1 species
UACAGAGGUCUCAAGCGUUGUUCGGAUUUAUUGGGCGUAAAGGGAGCGUAGGCGGUUUUGUAAGUCGUGUGUGAAAUCUUCGGGCUCAACCCGAAGUCUGCACACGAAACUGCAGGGCUUGAGUAUGGGAGAGGUGAGUGGAAUUCCUGGUGUAGCGGUGAAAUGCGUAGAUAUCAGGAGGAACACCUGUGGCGAAAGCGGCUCACUGGACCAUUACUGACGCUGAGGCUCGAAAGCUAGGGGAGCAAACAGG